CAGGUAUCUUAUGCAAAGCUCAGGAAGCUUUUUUAAAACGACCAAAUGGACUCAGUUGAUUCUGUUUCCUGCACAACCUCUGAUGCAGAAAGUCUGAAGCUUAGAGACAGAAAACAUGAGUCGGCACAUCUGGAUGACUCAGAUUUUACUGGUGGGCUUUUUGUGCAUUUUUCCAACAUGCCUGAAGACCCAAAAUCUGAACACAGGGAAAAAAACAGUUCAAAGAAUUAAGGAGCUGAGAACAUGUUUAACUGCCGGAAACACUGCUGGGAUCAUUGCUGAUAACUUUUAUGGCAUCAUUAACGCAUCCAAAUACGGGUCAAGUAUUUCAGGUGACUGCAUAAUAUUUCUACAGAGAAACUUUAAAAAACAAGAAAAAUUGUGGAAAGAAUGGCCACAAGUGCAAAGGAAUACGACAUUCAUGUUACUUUACAUCCCAAAAUAUCUGGCCCAGGCCAACGUGAACAUUUACGCUCGUGCUGGAAAAAA